rnacentral:rRNA from 1 species
AACGAACGCUGGCGGCAGGCCUAACACAUGCAAGUCGAACGCUCGUAGCAAUACGGGAGUGGCAGACGGGUGCGUAACACGUGGGAACAUACCCUUUGGUUCGGAAUAACUCAGGGAAACUUGAGCUAAUACCGGAUAAGCCCGAGAGGGGAAAGAUUUAUCGCCGAAGGAUUGGCCCGCGUUUGAUUAGCUAGUUGGUGAGGUAAUGGCUCACCAAGGCGACGAUCAGUAGCUGGUUUGAGAGGAUGAUCAGCCACACUGGGACUGAGACACGGCCCAGACUCCUACGGGAGGCAGCAGUGGGGAAUAUUGGACAAUGGGCGCAAGCCUGAUCCAGCCAUGCCGCGUGAGUGAUGAAGGCCUUAGGGUUGUAAAGCUCUUUUACCCGGGAAGAUAAUGACGGUAAAGGGAGAAUAAGCCCCGGCUAACUUCGUG